rnacentral:rRNA from 1 species
UACGGAGGGGGCUAGCGUUGUUCGGAAUUACUGGGCGUAAAGCGUACGUAGGCGGCUUUGUAAGUUAGAGGUGAAAGCCCGGGGCUCAACUCCGGAAUUGCCUUUAAGACUGCAUCGCUCGAAUCAUGGAGAGGUGAGUGGAAUUCCGAGUGUAGAGGUGAAAUUCGUAGAUAUUCGGAAGAACACCAGUGGCGAAGGCGACUCACUGGACAUGUAUUGACGCUGAGGUGCGAAAGCGUGGGGAGCAAACAGG